UACGGAGGGAGCUAGCGUUGUUCGGAAAUACUGGGCGUAAAGCGCACGUAGGCGGCGCAGCAAGUCAGGGGUGAAAUCCCGGGGCUCAACCCCGGAACUGCCCUUGAAACUGCAGUGCUAGAAUCUUGGAGAGGCGAGUGGAAUUCCGAGUGUAGAGGUGAAAUUCGUAGAUAUUCGGAAGAACACCAGUGGCGAAGGCGGCUCACUGGCCCGGUACUGACGCUGAGGUGCGAAAGCGUGGGGAGCAAACAGG
rnacentral:rRNA from 1 species